UGAAUAACUCCCCUAAAUGGCCCAAGCCACCACCUUAAAUAACAUCUCCAGCCAACCAGUUACACUGAAAAUAAUGACACAGAAGGAAGAGGAAGACAGGGCAACCCAUAGUCCCAGUUCUUUUCAGUCCUCUCUUGCUACUCAUCGGUAGCAAAAGGUACAGAGUUGGUGGAAUGCGUGUGUAUCAAGAAGUGACAUAAAAACAGGUUUUAGCUGAGCCAACGACAACAGAUUCAAGACUGCAGUUGCCUGAUGGUGAGAGAACAGUGCUUCUGGCUCCCAUCACGAGCUCCAUCACCAGCUUGGAUUCUCAUGAGGCUAUACCAGGAAAGGGAUGCUAUGAAGUUUGGGGCUCCAUGGAGAAAAGAUACUUUUCUGAAAAUCAGUGUUUCAAUAGAAAGCACCUAUGGAUGGAUGGUGAGUGAAAACAACAUUCGAGAAGGCUUUUGAAUCACAGAGUAUCUUCUCCUUAGCUGAGGAGCUUGUCGAAGAGAAUGAUUCGAGUAAUCACAGGAUUAUCAUUCUACUUCUCUUGUCCCUGUACCGAGUUGUCAUAUCUCGUCCGAACUAGAACAAGAAGGAUUUGCUACAGAGUGCCUUCCACGUGGCAUCGUGCACAAGGCUGUCAGUGCUACAAAAAUAAGCAAAUUAAAUCCAAAGACACGGCUCCUGAUUUGAGGGGCUUGUUGGGAAUUUAGACAUAGAAAACUGAAACCAUUCCGGGCAGUCAGAAAAGCUACUGAUCAAUCCCUAGGGUGGCUGUGCUAUCAUUCAGACAGAUCACAUGCUCUGUUCUUCAGACGCUUAUCAGACUCUGGUAAAGAGAUAAAGAGUUGUGUGGUGUGCGUUAGGGGUACCAAAAGCAUCUGUCUUCUUAGGGUACACAUGCUGAACCCUUCAUGGAUCCCCCUAGUUUCCCCUGGACUGGUCAUCCUUUUUAUGGAUCUCAUUAACCCUCCUGGGCCUGUCACAUCUUACUUUUCAAAGAAUUGCUGAUGGCCUUAGUACAUAUCUGUCUGGAUGUGUUUUCAUUAACUUACCUAAACCCGGAAGCUUUAACUUUCCAAUAACUUACUAGGCUUGAUGCAAAUAGGGGGAAGAAAACUGUGUUAGCCUGUUGUCAAUAUGCCAUGCUGAAAGCAUCCCCCAACACGUGUCAGCUCUGCAGCUCACUUAACUUUUCCAGAUGUGGCUGGAUGGGCUGCCUUGUCGGUGACAUUGCAGAUGAAUGGCCACAGUCCACUAUAGGCGGAUGAACAUGGGUACCUUUGAUGUGAUGGGGCGACUCUUCUCAUCUAUUAGCCAGAAGGAAAAGCCAUUUUCUUCUGUUGAGCCCUCAGUUUAUUCCCACCUCAAGGAGACCGUAUAAUUAGCGUAUAUGAACACUCAGAACCGGGGUCUGGGGCUCUCAUUCCAGCCCACUGAAUGUGUAGCCAGCAGCCCCAGGGGAGUCAAAAUAAAACUUAUGCCAAGGAGAUCUGUAGGCUGUUCUUUUACCAGGCCUGAUGUCCAUAUAUGUAGGAAAAGGGUUACAGUUAACCUGUUUAUCCAAACUUUCAUCCCCAACACACAAAGCAAGGCACCUAUGUCCCUUACUCUCAGAUACAGUUCAUCUUCUCACAACCUGCAUAUAGAAAUUUCAGAAUAUAAUAGCUCUCAUCCUCCAGGGAGGAAAACAGUGAUUGGAAAUACAAAGAAGAAAAAGAGCUGUUUAGCCUUCUAUCUUCCUGGCAGAGGUAGUAAAAGAACUUUCUGGUUUUCUUCUUCAGCAGGAUGCACUGAACUUUGGCAUCACAGUAGCACUGUUUUAAAAUAUGCUUUGUUUUGAAGUAUUUAGGCAAGUUAUUGAACCUCCAGGAACCUUGGCUUGCUCAUCUGGAAAAUUGAGGUAAUACCUUGCAGAGAUAUGACAAGGGCAAAGACCACAAAUGUAAAACCACAGCAUAAUACUUGCCACAUCAUAGGUCUCAGUAUUUAUAGCCAUUUGUAGCAGUACAGUGGAAAUCAUUUUUUUCUUUUGGUUGGUACACAGUACAUGAGGCUGGUAAUUAAUGAGCCCGUAGGAGCCUGGACAUUUAGAAGUUACAUUUGGAGGCUGACAACAGGCUUAACACAGAAUUUCAUAGGUCUAGUGACCAACUUAUUUGAGGAAGGUUAUCUUGUCCCAGUCCUUUUCCAGGGUUGACAGCAAAUUAAAAUCUAUAUUUGCAAGCAAUUGAUUAUGGAAGGUCAGUUGUUGAAAACAACUUUGUACCUUUUUAAAAGAUUCACUAAAGAGUUUUGGGGUUUUUUUUUCAGAGUUGGGUUUUUUUUUAAGUGACAAUCUCCUCCCCGAAAGUGCAUUACAAUCUUAAUAUUAUUUUACUUAGGGAAUGUCAAGGGGUCCAUGCAGUUCACAUCUUUGAAAGCUGUGACUGGGUAAAGUUCAUAAAGACCUAAAGGGUCAAAGUGGGAAAACAGUUUCAGAGGCAGGUGUAGUAAAAUUACUUUUAUCCUUGUGUUUCCCUGCAGAGGAGUGACUGGGCUUACCAGAUCAUAUAGGUCCUUGUCCAAAGCAUCUCGUGUUUAACGUGGUGCUCUGGCAGCAUGGCUCCCAGACCCUUCAAUCAGCCUGGGCUAGAAGACAAGUAUUCUGAUUAGAAGUCUACUACACUUCGGCUUACCAAGUGCGUGCCCAGAACCUGGCAGUGUUUGGCGCAAGAUGAAGACAGUGAGUCAAUGGGAGGACAGACAACUUUUCCAGGGUCGAACAGCUACUGAGUGACGGCGGCUGGUAUUCAAAUCCAGGGAGGCUGUAUCUUUGGUUUGUUAAUGGACACAUUCAUUUUUGCCACUUGGAUAAGUUGGACUGUCAGGAAUGCACACGAAGAUGGCUUACUAGGAGGACACGGAAUUUGCGUCUCCUCACAACUAGGGCACCUACCAGGCACCGGUGGGUGACCACGGUCACCUAAGGGGACGGGAGGAACCCCCAACGACUGGGCCCUCUGGGGAAUCUCAAAGAUGUGUGCUUCCAACUUUGUAAAACGAGAAGUGCUAGAAACAAUUAGAUUUAUUUGAUAUGUUACUAUUGAUGAGCUACAUUGGAAGAGCUGUCAAGUCAGAAGAGAUGCUUAACCAUCCUGAGGUUAAAUCUGUAUGGCUAAAAUGUUAUUAAUGUAAGUAUUUCACAAAUUGUAUGCUAUAUGCUAAGUAUAGAGAUUUGUCAAUACCCUCACUGUCUAUGAUAGGUUUUAUCUAUCUGAUCUCUGGUGCUGCUUUGCCUGAUAUCAGAAAAUGGUAUAGGUUAUCAGUCACAAUUUCAGUUAAUUUAAAAAACAUUAACUUGGCUGCAUCUUUACUUCUUUAGUUUAGAUCUUUUAUCUUCUAGGCCACUAUAUGUCAAUAGGAAUCCAUACUGCAUAUCUAUGGAGUUUUAUUAAUAUACAGAUGUUUAGGACCUACCCUAGACUUAUUGGAUAUUUUUACUUGAUAUAUUUUUUGACAUAUUCUUACUAUAUGUUUGGUAUAGUCAUGGUAUAUUAUGUCUCAGGAUUACUUUGUCUUAAGAUU